rnacentral:rRNA from 1 species
UACGUAGGGUGCGAGCGUUGUCCGGAUUUAUUGGGCGUAAAGGGCUCGUAGGCGGCCUGUCGCGUCGGGAGUGAAAGCCCACUGCUUAACGGUGGGUCUGCUUUCGGUACGGGCGGGCUAGAGUAUGGCAGGGGAGACUGGAAUUCCUGGUGUAGCGGUGGAAUGCGCAGAUAUCAGGAGGAACACCGGUGGCGAAGGCGGGUCUCUGGGCCGUUACUGACGCUGAGGAGCGAAAGCGUGGGGAGCGAACAGG